AGUGAAACCCCAGGCAGUGCUGCUGUGCUGCUCCUCUCUCUCCAGCACAGGCACGUGAAGAUGGCUGGAGUUUUUAUUGUGUUCACAGCAUUGCUGCUGUGUCUCCCAGAUGUCUCAAAUGGUAUCAAGAUUGUCCAGUCCCCUCCUUCACUGUUUGUGAGUCCUGGACACUCUGCUGAACUCCAGUGCUAUCACGGUGAUAGCAGCUAUCCCUACAUGUACUGGUACCAGCAAACCAGGAAAGGAGCUUUGGAACUGAUUGGAUAUGAGUAUUUCACAAUAUACCCUGAAGAAAAGUUUAAAGAAAGAUUCAGAAUGACUGGAAAAGCAACAGAGAAGGGCUUUUUAACCAUCUCCAGUGUAACAGCUGAAGACAGUGCUGUGUACUUCUGUGCAGCCAGCAUACACAGUGCUGCAGAUCACCUCUCUCCUCUACAAUAAGUGUUCCUAGCUACAGCUUGCAUGAGAACACUUCAUCUCAACACCUGGCUUUUUCAACGUGGUUUAUCAGCACCAACACCUGCUCUGCUGUCAUUUCCUGUCUUGUGAUAUUCAUGAAACUCAAUGCAGGGCAGUGCUGCUGUGCUGCUCAUCUCUCUCCAGUCCCGAGACGUCAGCAUGGCUGGAGUUUCAAUUGCAUUCCCUGCUUUCCUGCUGUGUCUCCCCUGUGCAAAUCUCUAACUCAUACUGACAGUGACACAAAACACAACUACAGAAUGAUUCUUAUUGUAUUUUGUGAUUUAUUUUCCUUCAUAUUUGCUGUUUGUUUUUCAUUACUGCCUAUGUACACAGACCCAGUAUCAGUGUUGACCAGCCCCUCCAUCACUGAGUGAAACACUAGA